GUGCGAGCGUUAAUCGGAAUUACUGGGCGUAAAGCGUGCGCAGGCGGUUAUUUACGUCAGGUGUGAGAGCCCUGGGCUUAACCUAGGAAUUGCGCUUGAGACUGGAUAGCUUGGAGUGCGGCAGAGGGGGGUAGAAUUCCACGUGUAGCAGUGAAAUGCGUAGAUAUGUGGAGGAAUACCGAUGGCGAAGGCAGCCCCCUGGGAUAACACUGAUGCUCAUGCACGAAAGCGUGGGGAGCAAACAGG
rnacentral:rRNA from 1 species